GACGAACGCUGGCGGCGUGCUUAACACAUGCAAGUCGAACGGUGAAGGCGGAGCUUGCUCUGCCGGAUCAGUGGCGAACGGGUGAGUAACACGUGGGCAACCUGCCCCUCACUUCGGGAUAACUCCGGGAAACCGGGGCUAAUACCGGAUACGACCUCCUUGGGCAUCUUUGGAGGUGGAAAGUUUUUCGGUGAGGGAUGGGCCCGCGGCCUAUCAGCGUGGUGGUGAGGUAGUGGCUCACCAAGGCGACGACGGGUAGCCGGCCUGAGAGGGCGACCGGCCACACUGGGACUGAGACACGGCCCAGACUCCUACGGGAGGCAGCAGUGGGGAAUAUUGCGCAAUGGGCGAAAGCCUGACGCAGCAACGCCGCGUGCGGGAUGAAGGCCUUCGGGUUGUAAACCGCUUUCAGCAGGGAAGAAGCCGCAAGGUGACGGUACCUGCAGAAGAAGCACCGGCUAACUACGUGCCAGCCGCCGCGGUAA
rnacentral:rRNA from 1 species